GAACACAGCUCGUUUUGUGUGCAGACAUGAUUUGGGGAUAUGUGGUAAAUGUGGAGAUGAGACAUGCAGCGGGAGAAACUGCGGAAAAGAACCCAAGUGUAAUCAGUGGGGGGGGGGGGGGGAGUCAUGAGACAUGGCAAGCAGACUGUCCAAGGAGAAAGAAAGAGAUGGAAGUCAUGAGGAUCAGGUCCAAGAGAAGGCUAUGCCACAAGGAAGCAGCUAGGAAUGAAAAGAUUCAAGAAGGUGUCUUCCCGCCUGCCGCCCAAUGGCUGCUGGGAUCGGCUCCAGCAUCCCCGCCACCCUGAGAGGAGGAUAAGCGGUUCGGAUAAUGGAUGGAUGGAUGGAUAGCAUGCAGUAAUGAAACCGCCUUUAAAAACCAAAAAAGAAGAGGUGUCCAAAUGAGUUGUUGGCAAAAUGGCAGAACACAGAGACAACAGCAUGGUGAACUGGAAUGCAUUUUCAGAGGCGUAUAGAAAGACCUGCAGAACUCCGUAUCUAAUCUCCUGUUGCAUUCAGUGCAAUUCUCUUUACAAAGACUGAAGGCUACAGGGGAUGUGGGCUGAGAGGAAAACUGCAAGGAUUCUGCUCUG